GGGACUGUGGCUCAGUGGUAGAGCACACAGCUGGCAUGUGUGAGGCCCUGGGUUCGAUCCUCAGCACCA
rnacentral:tRNA from 1 species